UACGAAGGGGGCUAGCGUUGUUCGGAAUUACUGGGCGUAAAGCGCACGUAGGCGGAUCGAUCAGUCAGGGGUGAAAUCCCAGAGCUCAACUCUGGAACUGCCUUUGAUACUGUCGGUCUAGAGUAUGGAAGAGGUGAGUGGAAUUCCGAGUGUAGAGGUGAAAUUCGUAGAUAUCAAGAGGAACACCUGAGGUGAAGACGGGUUGCUGGGCCGACACUGACGCUGAGUGCGCGAAAGCCAGGGGAGCAAAACGGG
rnacentral:rRNA from 1 species